ensembl:lncRNA
CCCACAACAAAUAAUACAGUAUAUUUAAAUUGAAAAAAUAAUAAUGAUUAUAAUAUUGUUCUGUAUGGAUUAAACUGACAGUAUCAUGAGAUCUAUAAUAGUAAUUGCAGUGUCAGAUUCACACACUGGAUCCUGCACUGCAGAUUGGAUCCAAUAAUCUAAUUUUAUUUAUGGAAUGUGUUAAAGCUAAUUAUUUAAUUAAUUUAAUUUAAUUAUCUUAGUUUCCUGUACUUUGCAUUUCUUGACUUGUUUUUGCUUGGCAGGGAGGCAAAUAAUGAAUAAGGAAUAAGCUCCUUUAGACUAGAAAGUGCAUGAGAGCCUUCAGAAAGUUUUUUUUUUUUUUUUACUUAUUAAUGGAAUAUUUCCCAAACAACUUUCAAGGUUUGCAUUCAGAAAAAGUAUUUUUUUAAUAAUUUUUUUUAUGUUUAAUAUUUGUCUAGGAUAAUUUUUUCCGCCUUUCUGCUGGCAGUGCUGGGACUGAUCUGUGCCGACGCCAUGCCAAAAUGAGUGACAACGUCCCAGUGCUGCAAUGCAGUAAAUUAAUAGCGGUUCCACCGGACAGAUGCUCUUCACCUGUACACCAGCAGAGGGCGACAGCAGCGAUGAAAGGGCUGGGCAGAGGGAGCCCGUGCUGGUGUAGGGUUCAAGGGAAUGCUGGGAGACCGCUGGGCUUGUGUCUUGCUGACUCGGCAGAAACCCUCCGCUGAUGUCAUUCUGCUUUUCCUUCAUCACUCGUCAGAAUGAAAUCCUCCAAAACCGGUCACUUUAGUGCAGCCCAUUUCUGUGCAAAAAGUUAUAACACAGAAUGUCUCUUGAUUAUCAGUUAUUGCUACACUCUGACUAGUCUGAGUAUUUGAGAAAAACUAAACAAAUAACUACAAAUACAUUUCUAGUACUUACUGGCGUUUGUGGAGGAAUAGUUCACCCCAAAACAAACAACAACUAAAAAAUUUGCAUUACAUAACUUGCUCUCCAGUGUUUCCUCUGGAGUGAAUGGGUGCCGUCAGAAUGAGAGUCCAAACAGCUGAUAAAAAAAUCACAAUAAUCCACACCACUCCAGUCCAUCACUUGGGAUGUCUUGUGAAGUGAAAAGCUGCUUGUUUGUAAUAAAUCCAUAAUGAAGACUUUAAACCA